rnacentral:rRNA from 1 species
AUUGAACGCUAGCGGGAUGCUUUACACAUGCAAGUCGAGCGAGCGGCGGACGGGUGAGUAAUGUAUGGGGACUGCCCGAUAGAGGGGGAUAACUACUGGAAACGGUAGCUACUACCGCAUACUAUCGGAUAACCCAUAUGGGAUUAGCUAGUAUGUGAGGUAAUGGCUCACCUAGGCGACGAUCCCUAGCUGGUCUGAGAGGAUGAUCAGCCACACUGGGACUGAGACACGGCCCAGACUCCUCCGGAGGCAGCCGUGGGUAAUAUUGCCCAAUGGGCGCAAGCCUUAUGCAGCCAUGCCGCGUUUAUGAAGAAGGCCCUAGGUUUGUAAAGUACUUUCAGUCGGGAGGCGUUACCGACAUAAGAAGCACCGGCUAACUCCGUGCCAGCAGCCGCGGUAAUUC